UCCAGGACACACUCUUCCAACUAAUUUUAUAAACUAAUACUGUUGCGACAAAUACUAAUUUCUUUUUCAAAGUGGGUUAGUAGUUGGGAAUGCAGAACAAUAAAAUAGAACAUAAUAAAAAAGUCAUCCAAUAAAUCGAACCUUGGGAAAUUUUUAGUCAGAAAGUAGACAAAUAUCUAGCAAGAGUUACCAAGUCUCGUCCUUCAGGUUAGCCCAGUUCUCUUCUUUCUUUUUGUGCUAAAGUUCACACCUCUCUUUCUUGUUCAUCAUCUUACUACUUGGUAUUGCUCUUGGUCCUACGAAAAAGGUGAAUCAUGGCCAGUGCGCUGGUGAGUGCUUUCACAGGAUCGAUGGACUCGCUCCUCAGAAAGCUCUCCACUAUGUUGGAGAGAGAGUACGCGAAGAACAGAAGGAUCGAGAAGGAUUUGUUCUUCCUGCGAAAUGAGCUGAGCAGCAUGAAAGCGGUAAUACAGAAGUAUGCGAUGCAGAAUGAUCCUGAUUUGCAAGUGAAGGCUUGGAUGAAGGAGGUGCGGGAGCUAGCUUACGACAUCGAGGACACCAUUGAUGAUUUCAUGGUCCAAGAUGAAGAAAAUCCAGAUGAGCCAACAGGCAUCAAGGCGUUUGUCAUCAACAAUAUCAGGAAGCUGAAGGAACUUUUUUCGAGGUGUAAUAUUGCAGAAGAGAUUGCAGAACUGAAAAGUCAAGUUGUCGAGGUGAGCGAUCGCAGAAAAAGGUACAAGCUUGAUGAGUCGAUCUCCAUGGCUAGUGAUGUUGCCGUGGACCCUCGUCUGCCUGCAAUCUAUGCUGAAGUAGGAGGAAUUGUGGGUAUCGAUGGUGAGAGAGACAAAAUAAUCAAGUUGCUAAUUGAGGCGGAGGCAGAUGGUGGGUCUUGGCAACAGCUAAAAGUGGUGUCCAUCGUGGGGUUUGGAGGUUUGGGCAAAACUACUCUGACCUACCAAGUGUAUCAGAAAAUCAAAGGUCAAUUUGAUUGCGCUGCUUUCGUGUUUGUAUCUCAAAGGCCUAAUGUGAAGCGGAUUCUUUUGGAUAUACUCUCUGAACUUGGUACUCCUGGUAACAUGUGGGAUCAUGAGCGGCAACUCAUCAACAUGAUUAGAGAAUUUCUGCACGACAAGAGGUACUUAAUUGUAAUUGAUGAUAUCUGGAGCAUAUCAGCUUGGGAGAUAUUGAAGUGUGUGUUGCCUUACAACAAUUCAUGUAGCAGAAUAAUUACUACUACACGUGUUGUUGACGUAGCCGUAACUUGCUGCUCUAGCUUUGGAGUUGAAGGCCAUAUUUAUCGCAUCAAACCAUUGCGUGAGGAUGACUCCAGAAGGUUGUUUUUGAAAAGAAUUUUUCAUACUGAGCACAGUUGUCCCUCACAUUUGGAAGAAGUCUCCAAUGCAAUUUUAAGAAAAUGUGGCGGUUUGCCAUUGGCCAUACUUAAUAUUGCUGGUUUGUUGGCUACGAAACCCAGCACAAAGGAUGAGUGGGAGUUGGUGCUAAACUCAAUUGGCUCAGCACUUGACAACAGUAACACUUUACAAGGUAUGAGAGAGAUAUUAUUGCUUAGCUUCUAUGAUCUACCUCAUCAUUUGAAGACCUGUUUGUUAUAUUUAAGUAUAUAUCCAGAGGAUUAUAAGAUAAAGACCAAAGAUUUGAAAAGGAGAUGGAUAUCUGAAGGAUUUAUUGCUGAAGAACGGGGUAAAAGAUUGGACCAAGUAGCUCAGAGUUACCUUAAUGAUCUUAUUAAUAGAAGUAUGAUCUUACCAGUGAGUAUGGGGUAUGAUGGCAGUGUACAAUAUUGUCAAGUCCAUGACAUGGUGCUCAAUAUUCUAAUAUCUAUGUCAACCGAAGCUAAUUUUGUUACCAUAAUAGAUGGACAGAAGCCUUUCUCUUUGCCAAAAAGGAUUCGCCGAUUGUCCCUUCAGUGCAAUAAUUCAGAAGAUGCAGUAACACAAACAGCCUUAACAAAACAAUCUUCUCUUCGUUCAGUUAGUAUCUUUGGGUUUACAAAGGAAGUACCAAAUAUUGUGAACUUCCACGCUUUGCGUGUUUUGGACUUGUCUUAUUGUGAUUGGCUGAAGAACAACCAUAUUGAAUGUAUAGGGAGUAUGCUUCAGUUGAGGUACCUAGUGCUUUACUCCAGAUUUAUAAGUGAGCUUCCUGAAAGAAUAGGGAAAUUGGAACAGUUAGAGAUAGUGGAUGUACGACUGUGUCCUAUACGAGCACUUCCCGAUGCAACUAUUCGAUUGCAAAAGCUAGUUUGUCUGAAUGUAAGUGUUGUAACGAAGCUACCAGAAAUGAUUGGAAAUAUGCAAUGUUUGGAAGAACUGUCACAUGUUGUCAUCCCAAGCUACUCGAUAAGGUUGGUUCAAGAGCUUAGAUGUCUUGCAAAACUGAGAGAGCUUGUAAUAACUGUCGAAGAACCUAUUGAGAUGGGAAGUUAUGGGGGGCAAUUUAGGGAAGCUUUGGUAUGUUCUCUUUGCGAAUUAGGCAGACAAAACCUUCAAGAUCUCUCACUUGGUUACAAAGGUAAUGAACGUUUCAUUCUAGAUUCAUUAAUGGUUUCAUGCUCUGCACUUCAACAUCUCCGAAAGUUUGCCAUUACGAAGCCUGUUUCGAUGGUGCCAAAGUGGAUGAGCACGUUUGCCAGUCUGAAACACCUGGAACUAUACAUCUCAAGAAUGGCAGAAAUUGAUAUUGACAUACUGAAAGAACUGUCCACUCUGCUCUAUCUCCGCCUUGUCUUUACGGGGCAUGCGCCAAAUGGAAAGAUAGUCAUCGGCAGCCAAGGAUUCCAAUCUUUAAAAGAUUUCAGUCUCAUAUGUUUUAUUUCUGGGAUGUGGCUAGUGUUUGCACCAGGAGCUAUGCAGAAGUUACAAACAUAUCACCUUACUUUCAAGUUACCGGAGGCAUGUUCUGACGGUGCUGAUUUCUAUUUCGGUCUUGGGCAUCUUUCAAGCCUCCAACAUGUCAAUGUGAUAAUCGUUCCUGUUGGCUCCACGAAUGAGGACACAACGACUGCAGAGGCAGCAAUCAAGAGUGAAAGCGACCUUCGUCCCAAUAAACCAACAACUGAAACUGGAAUAUGGUCAUAGGAUUGAGAGGUGAAGGACAGGCUGUAUUGAUACCCCUCUCCGAUCUUAAAUGCUGAGGCACCGGUGCAGCAACGGAAAUGAACACCACACGAGGCCACGAUCGAAUACGUACAAUUCUGGCGUGCACCAAAUGGAAGGCAAAAGCAUGGCUAUAUGGGCCUCAUUUUCUGGCAUGUUCUGUGUCUCUACAUGUGGCGCAUGUUCAGGCUGCUGCAGCUCCCUUUCAUGUGCAACAAUGGGUUGAGUCGGCUCCUAAAGGACAGGUUCCGGACCUUCACUCAUUGUUGCCAUGUGUGGAGUCACAACAGGUGUCGGCACCACGAUCUCAGGGAUUGUCGGUGCGGCAACAACAGGUAGUGAAAAGAAUGGCUCUUGAGUCAUCGGAUUAGGUGCAUGCACCCUCUUCUCCUCAAGAUCAACUUUCCGAGCUACCGUGCUCCCCCUCGUCAUUUCGUCCUCUAAGAAGACGGUGUGUCUCGUUUCCACAAACUUUGUGUAUUUGUCUGGACAGUAGAAACGAAAACCUUUUGAUCUUUCAGGGUAGCCAAUGAAAUGGCAACUUACUGUCUUGGUAUCCAACUUUGCAAUAUUUGGGUUAAACAUUUUGGCCUCAGCUGGGCUCCCCCACACCCGCAGGUGUUGUAGAGAGGGCACUAUUCCUGUCCACAGCUCGUACGGUGUUUUGGGCACCGACUUGCUUGGCACUCUAUUGAGAAUGUGAAUGGCGGUUUUUAAUGCCUCCAUCCACAAUCCCAAUGGUAAUGUGGAAUAACUCAUCAUACUGCGCACCAUAUCCAUAAGGGUACGGUUACGCCUUUCAGCUACUCCAUUUUGCUGAGGCUCGCCCGGCAUUGAAUACUGAGCAAUUAUUCUAGUCUCCUGUAGGAACCUUGCAAAAGGCCCAGGGACUUGGCCGUAUGGGGUGUGCCCACCGUAGUACCCCCCCCCCCCUCACGGUCGGGUCUUACUAUCUUUAUCUUUUUAUCAUGCUGAUUUUCAACUUCAGCCUUGAAUAUUUUAAAUUUAUCCAAUGCUUCUGACCUUUCUUUUAUUGGAUAAAUGUAACCAUAACGGGAGUAGUCGUCUGUGAAUGUUAUGAACAAAUCAUAACCAUCCACACUUUUCACAGGAAAUGGUCCACAAAUGAUAGUGUGAAUAAUUUCGAGUGUGCUGGUGCUACGUAUUGCACCCUUUUUUAUUUGUUUUACACACUUUCCUUUGAUGCAAUCUACGCAUUGCUCUAUUUCUGAGAACUCUAAUGGAGGAAGAAUUUCUGUUUGUGCAAUUUAAUCUAUAUCACCGUUGGGCAAAAAAUAGAAUUAAAUGCACACUUUAACCAUUAAUCAUGAUCAUGCUAUUAAUGACGUUGGUCAAGAAAAAAUAACAGGAUCACAAUUAACAUAAAACACUUUUAAUCAUGUUCUUUGCAUAUUGAAACAACACUUUUAAACUAUUUGCAGCGGAAACUAUGAACAAAAAUUAUAACUUUAUACUUUUCAGAAGCAUUAUUUUGCACUUUUCUAUUUCCUAAAACAAACAUCUCGUUGGUUCAGUUUGAAUAGGAUAAAAAUUAUACCAAAAAACAGCAAAACUGAAUAUAUACAGCAAAAAUUAAUGCCUCUGUUAGAAAAAAAGAAAAAACGGCGGCGGGAGGUGGAGCUUCCCGUUACUCUUGUGCGGAACUCUAGAUCGGUAGGCGGUUGUUCGGUGGGGUGUGCGGCACAGCGACGAACCUUGUGUUGCGUGCCGCCGCCCCCACCUCUUUAUAUUGAACAGUGUAACAGGGCCCUGCCAACCAUAAUGGGUUGGGCGUCCCCGAUUAGGGCGCUGUGGAUCUAAGGGCCCGGUGGGCCGUUGGGCCCACUCGGGUAGAGAUCACUCUAACAAUUGUCUCUUCUCCGGCCGUGUUUCACGUUAAGUCUUUGGAGGAUGCACACGUCACCGCUUUGCUGGCUAGAACUGAACAACGAAUUAAUUUGAUAUGCACGGGGCAUUAUUUGUUGGUACGCGUGCACGUCGUUUGCUCUUCUAGCGCCUUGCGCGUUCGUGUAUCACGUCCUCUUUUGUUCUUUUCUCGAAACAAAGCUGUCGACUGAGGAACUAAUCAAGGCGUACGUAUUAACCCUUAGAUCAUUCAACAACGCAGAGAAGUGUUAAUAACUGUGACCGUGAGCUGGGAAAGGAAACGUACAUCACAUGGAGGUAGUACCAACAAACGAUAUGUCAUGUCAGUGUGAUUAGCCGGGACGUAACGCGCCUAUACACGCGGAUCAUCAUCGGUCCUUCAAUUCCGUCCGUACGUCCUCGCCACAAGGUUCUCCAAGUAUAUAAACAGACGCAUGGUGAGGUUCGAAUUGGAGCAUCAAGAAUAAGCUAGCAGGACCCAAUAAGAUCAAUACAUACAUCGAUCUAGCGAGCUCGGUGAAGUAAUAUUACAAUGCACAAGAGUGUUUAGGUACGCCGCGGUUGCUUGUCGGGAGCAGAAAUGGACUCACAG